rnacentral:lncRNA from 1 species
CACAACUGACCCUUGGUCGUACUCAGUCCAGAAAUCAUAUAAGCCCCUCGGGCAUUAGUAAAAUAGUAGGUCUCAGCCCAAAAUAUCAUUUAAUAUAUCAUUUUAGUUUCAAAACCGAGUAAAAGUGACUUUAGUUGUAAAUUAGUGGAAAACGGUAUGAAUGAGUUCAAGUAGUAAGUCAAAACAGUGAGGAAAUAGUGACCAAACUCCCCGGAGGGUUCAAACAGUUGGCACGAAGCCCAAAUAUGGCAAUCAGUCCAAAUAAAGAUGAUAACAAAUAAGCUUUAAUCAAAUACGCAGUAAAAACAUCACCCGAGACGGACCAAGUCACAAUCCCCAACUGUAAACGACCCCAAGCUCAUCAUCAAGCACGUGUCUCACCACAAUAUAGCACUACGAUGUGCAAAUCCGGGGUUUCAAACCCUCAGGACAUCAUUUACAUUCAUUACUCACCUCGAACCAGCUACAACUCUAGCUCGCGACGCCUUUGCCCCUCAAAUCGGCCUCCACGCGCGUCGAAUCUAUCCAAAAUCAGAACAAAUACAUCACAAUAUGCUAUGGGAGCAAAACCCAAGCGAAAAUAAUCGAAAAAUAUCAAAAAUCCCGAAAUUAGCAAAACCCGAUCCCCAGGCCCACAUCUCGAAACUCAGAAAUUUUCACAUCAACGGGUUCCUUAUCCUUCCACGAGUUCAUACAUAUCAAAACUUCUCAAUUCCGACCUCAAAUGGCCCUUCAAAUCCCAAUUCAAAAAGUUCAAAAUCCCAAGCCCUAGUUCUUCCAUUUUUAGCUUAGGUUCCAUGAAUUUCUAGGUUAAUUUCACAAUAGAAUCACGUUUUAGGUUCAUAAAUCUUACCUCCAAUCAAUUCUCCUUGAAUCCCUCUUCAGUUUCCCUCAAAGAGCUCUCAAAGUACUCAGCUAUGGCGGGAAAAUGGCUCAAAAUCGCGGAUGAAAUAUUUUAUAAAUUCACUGCCCAGUUCUGAUAUUCCUUCUUCGCGAUCGCGGCCCAAGCCUCGUGAUUGCGAAGCACAAAUUUUAACUUCCCAAAAAUAACCCUUCGCGAACGCGACUCAAUUCACGCGAACGCGAAGCUUCAGGCAUCACACUUAAGCGAAAGUGUUCCCUCACACGCGAACGCGAAGAACAAACUCCACUGGGCUCCAAAUCCUUAUACGCGAACGCGACCCUCUCACUGCGAACGCAAAGCACAAGCUGCUCACUCUUCGCGAACGCGAGCCCUCAGACACGAACGUGAAGCACAAACUCAGGCCCACCCAAAUUCCCUCUACGCGAUCGCGAAGGCCAAAAAUCCUCUACAACUGCUGCUCAAAUUCUGCAACCUCUCAACAUAGAAAUUGGUCCGAUUGACCGUCCAAAACUCACCCGAGGCCCCUGGGACCUCAACCAAAAGAACCAACACAUCCUAAAACCUCAUUCAAACUUGUUUCAAUCAUCAAAACACCUCAAAUAACACCAAAUCCAUCAAUUCACAUCGAAUUCAAGCCUAAGUUUUCUAAAAACUUUCGAAAUACGCUUUCGAUCAAAAACCCAACCAAACCACAUCCAAAUGACCUGAAAUUUUGCACACACAUCCCAAAUGACAUAACGAAGCUACAUCAACUCUCGAAAUUCCAUUCUGACCCUGGAUCAAAAUCUCACCUAUCUACCGGAAAUCGCGAAAAUACUAACUUCGCCAAGCCUAAUUCUACACCGGACCUCCAAAACCACUUCCGAUCACACUCCUAAGUCACAAAUCACCUCCAAAAUCUAACCGAACUAUCGGAACUCACAUCCCAUCCCUCUAACGCAUAAGUCAACAUCUAGUUGACUUUUCCACCUUAAACCUUCUUAAAAGAGACUAAGUGUCUCAUUUCUUAGCAAAACCACACCAACCGGAAACCAAUCAACUCGGUCACAUAAAGCAUGGAUAACGAAGCAUAAAGAAGAAAAAAUGGGGAAAAUAGAGCGGUAACUCAUGAAACAACUGACCGGGUCGUCACACGCAUCCAGGUUUGCUAAAACAUUCGAUCCUUUUGAUGUCAUGUUUAGCCAUUGGAUUUUAAAUCAAAUUAUAUUUCAAAAAUAUGCUUUUUUCAUUCAAUACUUUUGAUUAAGAUUGACCAAAAUAUUUAUGUGAUUAGAAAGCUGAAUAAAGAAGAGCAACUUUGUCUCCUCUAAUUUUAUAUGUUUCUGAACAAAUAGAUAACCUAUCUCAAAUUAUAGCCAAUAUAAUCUCCCUCUUAUUAGGAAUUUGAGAUAUAGUAAUUCUUGCACAAAUUGUAUAAAAUGGAUGAAUCUUAUAUGUACUAGCUUUUAAUUAAAAGAAAUUAGAGUUAAACAUUUUAAUGUCUUUGAAGAAAAGCUAAUAAAUAGAUUAUAGAAAUUCUAUUCAAAGUUAUCAUGCAGUUGUGGAUUCCUAAGUACUAAAACUUUGUAUAUCACAAACAUGCUCCAAACUAUUAUAUUUCAAAUGUGCAGAUAUUACCAAUGCUGAAAGAUCUAAUAGAAGAAAAUAGCAUAUCAAUGUUAUGAACACCUCUAUUAAAUAUUCUUGCAUUGUAUACAGUUACAUCGCAAUAUCCGAACUUAUUCAAAACAUCUUUAUGUUGGAACUAAUUGGAUCAUUGCUACAAUAAGUUGUGAAUUAUAUCUAUUUAUCUUUUAGUAAGCAUGAAGCAAUUCUACCGUCUAUUUUAGAUUUGAGACUUAUUGGCUCUUCGAGAACAUAUGAUAUUUCAAACUAUUUUGCUUUAGAAGCUUUUGUUAGGUAUCAAUAGUCAAGACCUCAGGGAAUACCUGUUUUCUUCGAAACUGAUUACAUUAUAGAAAUUUCUACACAUUUAGAUACCAAUAUGUGUUCAUUUUUUUAUCAUGUCUAAUAUUUAAAUGUUGCAAUUGAUGCUCAUUUGUGUUGCUGAAGCAUUGACAUUCCCGUAUUGAUUUAAGAUAGUGAUUUAACAAUUUUGUUCUAUUUUAUAUGGGAAAAAACCAACGAAAUUCACACUCUGGGAAGAUUUUAUUGAUCAUGAUGGGAACAUACUACUCGAAUUGCUUAAAAAAGAAUACCCAAUAAUUCUUGCUAGAAAAAUUUGCAAGACCAAAGUCGUCGUCAGGUAAAACACCCCAAAUGCAUGCAAGAUGGAGAAACAAAUUUAAUACAGGUAAAGUAUAUAUGCAAUUAUGUUUUAGUUUUCCAUAUACCAGACGGCCAAAUUAGAACUGAAUGUUCAAAUGCAUGCACGAUUGACUAACAGAUUCAGUACAACAAUCGAAAUCAAUCCUCUAUACCCACAAGCAAAUGCACUGAGAACAUGGUAUUGUAAUCAAUACAUUAUUGGUCGUAUAUGUGCUUGAACAUAUACAAGAACUAAUUUUGAAAUGUUAACAUACUUGAAGGGCCCAACAAAAUGAACAAAUGCUUAUCGCGUACACGAUGAAGAGCACAAGUCCAACAUGCUCUCUUUUAUUUGUUCCUUUAGAAGAAGGUGCCAAUUGCAGAAAUCCGACAGCAAAAUCCAGUAAGUACACUAAAUAUUCAUAUAUGCACUAUUGAAAUUUUUUAACUUUAUUCUCUAAUAACAAAAAAUUAAUAUGCGGCAUCCUUGUGUUUUCCAGGGUCAAAUAUUCUACAUACAUGCUGAGUCACACUACAAAAUGAGAACCAACGAUUUUGUAUCCUUGCUUGUUCAGACUGCAAACAACACUUCACAUGAGCUAUCUCGCGGAGAAAGUUCUAUUGCACUAAUUGCCGUCGAGCUACCCAGUUGGUUGCCAGGUAUACAUACAACUUCCACAUAACUGUUUAUAUUUAACAUUCUAUAUUCACCAUCUUUUUAAAUAACCAAUCAUUUUAUCUUAUAACUAGGUGCCAAUUUGAAGUGACGCUCACAGAUCAGAGUGGUUCUACAACAACAACUAUUACCGACGAGCAUGCAGAAAAAAAUAUUGCUUCUCACUUUGGAAGAGAUUUAUGAUAUCUGCAAUGUCAAUGUACAUUGUUAAUUUCGAAAAACCACAAAUAACUAUUUUCUAUAGGUUGAGCCCCAUCUCACACAUAAAUAACUAAUUUCAUUUUUACAGAAAGGACUGUUGCCUCUUGUGAAUGCACAAAAGCUACUGACUGGCUAAAUCUUCAAGAUUCAAAUAAAAAAGUUGUUUACAAGAAACAAUGAGGCAAGAAAGUUAGUUAUUUUGUCUUUCAUGGUCAAAAGUAAUUCGGUUGUCUCACAAAUGCCAGCCACCAUCAAGGAUGUUGCGGAAGGAAGUAAACGAAAAAGUGAACACGUUGCCUCAGAGAGGCAAUAGCACCCACAUAUAACUACCAAAGGCAACGGUUCCUACAACAAAUAUAAGGCGGAAAUGAAACUUUCCCCUCCGAAAAAUUGUUGAGAGGUAUUUGAAAUUUCUGUUCCUUAUAAAUUUAAUAUGAGAUUAAACUUUGUAGAAAAAACAAACAACUUAAACGACUAUCGUUUGUUAGCAUUUUUUCCAGUGAAAUAUCUUUUGCUACUAUUUUGGGAUGCAAGUAAAGCCACAACUUGCUGUUACUUUUGAAUGCGGCUAAGCUCACUUUUGCUACUGCUUUUUGGAUGUUCCUCUACUCGGAAUAUGUUGCGGCGAUUUUCACGACCCGGAUUUUCACACUUGGGAGUCGUGAUGGCGCCUACUAAUGAGAGCUAGGCAAGCCAACCCUUAACUACCUUUUUCAUUAACAAUUUUUUUUUCAAUUACUAGCGAUAACAUGAAAACAAUGGAAUUAAAUAAAUAAGCAAAAGUCAACAAUUUUUAUAACUCAAAACUACGUCUCUUACAACUUUCAAAACCUCAAUACUCAAAACCUGGUGACACAGUGUCAUAGACUGUCUAAGAGUCACUACAAACAAGGCCUGAAGAAAAUACAAUAAACUAUUUCUGAACGAAAGAAAAUGAAACAGGAAAUAGAGAUAGAGGGAGACGCCAGGGCCCGCGAACGCCUGCAAGUCUACCUUGGGUCUCCGGGUGGACUGAAGGAAGCCCUCCAACUACUGUCCAUAAGCUGCCCCAGGAUCUGCACACAGUGCAGAGUGUAAUAUCAGCACAACCGACCCCAUGUGCUGGUAAGUAUCUAGCCUAACCUCAGCGAAGUAGUGAUGAGGAUAGGACCAGACUACCAAAUAAACUAGUACAAUUUAAAUAUAUACAGCGGAAAGGAAAAUGCAGAAAUAACCAAUAAAUGUGGGAAGGGGAAACAUGCUGUAGGGGAAAUAACGGUUCCCAAUAGAAAGCUUCAGGUAAGGAAAGUAACAACAUAAGUAGAAUAUCAUGAAGAAUCAGAAAUCAACAAUUUGCACGCCAUCACCCUUCGUGCUUUUACUCUCGUUCUCACCAAAUCAAUCAUAUAAUAACAACGUGCACGACAUUACCCUUCGUGCUUUUACUCUCGUCCUCACCAAAAAAUAUUUUAUAAUAAAAGUGUACACGGCAUCACCCUUUGUGCUUUUACUCUCUUUCCUCACCAUAUAGUUAAUGAUAAUCUGUACAAAAUGGCACAUCGUACAGCACGACAUCACCCUUCGUGCUUUACACUCUUUCCUCACCAUAGCAAACUAUGCAGGCAUCACCCUUCGUGCUUUAAUGCUCUUCCUCACCCAAACAACAACCACAAACAAAGGGGCAAGGGAGUAAACAAAUAAUAAUAGAAAUCCCAGAAAGGGAACACAAUUAAACAGUUAAAUCCCGACAAGGGAACAAUAUCAAUAAUCUCAGCAUCCCGGCAGGAGAGAUAAUAAACAAAGCAACAAACAUCCUGGCAAGGGAACAAUUUAAUAACUCUUUCUCUUUCUUUCACUUUUACUUCAUAACUCACUUUACCAUUUGAGCCAAUGCUCCAAAGGGUUCAAUCAUCUCAUAUACUUUCACACUUUGUAAUAUAACUCAAGCCAAUGCUCCUCGAAGUUCAAAGGUCAUAAUUUCUUUCACAAGCUUUUCACAACAUAAAGAAAUCAUCACUAAUUACAUGUUUUAGGACUAGAAAUUCAAUAGAUGUUGAUGAAAAUGAAAGGAAAUAAGUUAAAGAUUACUAACCCAAUAGUUUAUGGUGAAAGGAUGCUUCAAAAGUCGCCCUAGAACUUUGGAGAAGAAAGUAUUUGUGAAAUUUUGGUGAAAUCCCGUAAUGGGUUAUGUUUUGGGACUUUAAAAUAACUGGGCAAAAUCCUUCUUCACGUUUGUGAUUAGCUCAACGCAUUUGCAAUAAGUCAGGUCUGAAGACCUUCGCGUUCGCGACACUAGGCUCGCGUUCGCAAUGCUUUAGCACCUCGAGCCCUCGCAUUCGCGGGCUAGUGGCCACGUUCGCGUAGAACAAACUGGUGGCCCCUCCCCUGAACCCUACAUGUUCGCGAGUGGAAGGACGCGUUCGCGAAGGGUCUCCCCCCUGAGCUUCGCGUUCGCGUCUCAACCUCCGCAUUCGCGAAGAAGAAACUGGGCACCUGGGAUCUUUGCCUUACGCGUUCGCGAGUGAGACCACGCAAACACGAAGAACAAAAUCCCUGGGCAUAAUAGCAGAAAAUCUACAACACUUCUAAAGCCAAAAACCAUUCCGAAACACCUCCGAAACACCUCCGAAACACUUCCGAGCCAUCAGGGUUCCUAACCAAGCACAGGCUCUAACUCAACAACAUCAUACGAACUUAUCCGUGCGAUCAAAUCGCAUAAAUAACCUCAAAAUCAAUGAAUCAAACCUCAAAAUCAAGAAUUCCUCAAACUUCAUCAAGUUUCUAAUUUAGAAAUUUAAGUCCGAAACACGUCAAACGACGUCCGAUUUCAUCAAAAUUUUAUAGGAACAACUUAAAACAUAUAUAAGACAUGUACCGGAUGCCGGAACCAAAAUACGGGCCCGAUGCCAUCGCUUUCUAAUCAGAUUUCAUUUCCAAUUUCCUUAGACAUUUUCAUAAAAUAAUUUUACAUAAAAAUUCAUUUCUCGGGCUUAGGACCGCGGAAUUCGAUUCCGGACAUAUGCUCACGUCCCAUAUUUUCCUACGGACUCUCCGGGACUGUCAAAUCACGAGUGCGGGUCCGUUCGCCCAAAAUGUUGACCAAAGUCAAACUUAUUCAUUUUAAUAUCAAAACUUAGCAUUUUCCACAAAAUUUCAUAUUGAAGCUUUCCGGCUACGCGCCCGGACUGCACAUGCAAAUCGAGGCAACUCUAAAUGAGGUUUCAAGGCCUCGGAAGCACAGAAUGGAUAAGAACACAGGUGAUGACCCCUUUGGGAGGGGUCAUCACAUUCUCCACCUCUAAAACAACCGUUCGUCCUCGAACGGACAAAAGAAGGAAGUACCUGAGUCGGGAAUAGAUUAGGAUAACGGCUCCGAAUAUCGGACUCGGACUUCCAGGUCGAUGCCUCAGGAGGUUGGCCUCUCCACUAAACACGAACAGAAGGGAAACUCUUGGAUAUCAACUGACGAACCUACCGGUCUAGAAUAGCUACCGGCUCCUCCUCAUAGGGCAAGUCCUUGUCCAACUGGACAGUGCUGAAAUCUAACACGUGGGAUGGAUCGCCGUGAUACUUCCAAAGCAUGGACACAUGGAACACUGGAUGCACGACUAAUAAGCUCGGCGGUAAUGCAAGUCUAUAAGCCACCUCUCCCACUCGAUCAAGAAUAUCAAACGGACCAAUGAACCUAGGGCUAAGCUUGCCUUUCUUCCCAAAUCUCAUCACGCCCUUCAUAGGCAACACUCGGAGUAAUACCUGCUCACCAACCAUAAAAUUCACAUCUCGAACCUUACGAUUUGCAUAGCUCUUUUGUCUGGACUGAGCUGUACGAAGCCUAUCCUGAAUGAUCCUGACCUUGUGCAAGGCCUCCUGAAUCAGAUCCAUACCCAACAACCGAUCCUCUCCCGGCUCAAACCAUCCAACCAGAGAUCGACACUGCCUACCAUAUAAAGCUUCAUAAGGAGCCAUGUGGAUACUCGACUGGUAGCUGUUGUUGUAGGCAAACUCUGCUAAAGGCAAGAACUGAUCCCACGAUCCUCCAAAGUCAAUAACACAAGCUCAGAGCAUAUCCUCCAAUAUCUAAAUAGUCCGCUCGGACUGCCCAUUCGUCUAAGGAUGAAAUGCUAUACUUAACUCAACCUAGGUGCCCAACUCUCGCUGAACUGCUCUCCAGAAACGCAAAGUAAACUGCGUACCUCGGUCCGAAAUCAUAGAUACCGGCACACCAUGAAGGCGAACAAUCUCCCGGAUAUAGAUCUCAGCUAACCUCUCGGAUGAAUAAGAGACUGCCAUAAGAAUGAAAUGCGCUGACUUGGUCAGCCUAUCAACAAUGACCCAAACUGCGUCAAACUUCUUCCGAGUCAGCGAAAGUCUAGUAACGAAGUCCUUAGUGAUCCACUCCCACUUCCGCUCGGAAGCUCAAUCCUCUAAAACAAUCCACCAGGCCUCUGAUGCUCUUACUUAACCUGCUGACAAUUUAAACACCAAGCCACAUGUGCAACAAUAUCCUUCUUCAUUCUACGCCACCAAUAAUAUUGCUGCAAAUCUUGAUACAUCUUCGCGUCGCCCGGAUGAAUAGAGUACCGGGAACUAUGGGCCUCAUCUAAAAUUAACUCCCGAAGCCCAUCCACAUUAGGCACACAAACUCGACCCUGCAAUCUCAAAACUCCAUCAGCAUCUAAGGUAACCUGCUUGGCACCUCCACGCUGCAUUGUGUCUCUAAGGACACACAAAUGGGGAUCAUCAAACUGCCAAUCACAGAUACGCUCCAAUAACAAAGAACAAACGACCGUGCAAGCUAACACUCGACUAGGCUCUAAAGUAUCCAACCUCACAAAUCGAUUGGCCAAAUCCUGAACAUCCAAAGCAAGCGGCCUCUCACCGAAUGGAAUAUAAACAAGACGGACCAUACUGGCUGACAUCCUACUCAAAGCAUCGGCCACGACAUUGGCCUUUCCCGAGUGAUAUAAGAUAGUGAUAUCAUAAUCCUUCAACAAUCAAAUCACCUCCUCUUCCUCAAAUUCAACUCCUUUUGCUUGAACAAAUACUGAAGACUCUUGUGAUCAGUGAACACCUCACAUGCCACGCCAUACAGAUAAUGCCUCCAAAUCUUCAAUGCGUGAACAAUGGCUGCCAACUCUAAAUCAUGCACCAGAUAGUUCUUCUCAUGAAUCUACAACUGCCGCAAAGCAUAUGCAAUGACCUUGCCAUCCUGCAUCAACACUGCACCAAGACCAAUGCGAGAUGCAUCACAAUAAACGGUAUAAGGCCAUGAACCCGUGGGUAAAACUAACACCGGUGUCGUAGCCAGAGCUGUCUUGAGCCUAUAAAAGCUUGCCUCACACUCGUACGGCCAUCUGAACUGGGCACCCUUCUGGGUCAACCUGGUCAUCGGGGCUGCGAUAGAUGAGAACCCCUCCAUGAACCGACGAUAGUAUCCUGCCAAUCCCAAGAAACUCCGAAUCUCUGUAGCUGAUGCUGGUCUAGGCCAGUUCUUGACUGCCUCAAUCUUCUUUGGGUCAACCUGAAUACCCUCUGCUAAUACGACAUGACCCAAGAAUGCAACUGAACUCAACCAGAACUCACACUUCGAAAACUUUGCAUAUAGCUGACUAUCCUUCAGAGUCUGAAGAACCACUCUGAUAUGUUGCUCGUGCUCUUCCUAGCUACGGGAAUAUAUCAGAAUAUCAUCAAUGAUGACUAUCACGAAUGAGUCCAAAUAAGGCUUGAACACUCGGUUCAUCAAAUCCAUAAAAGCUGUUGGGGCAUUUGUCAACCCGAAUGACAUAACCAAAAACUCAUAAUGCCCAUACCGAGUGCGAAAUGCUGUCUUAGGGACAUCAAAUGCCCUAAUCUUCAACUGAUCGUAGCCAGAUCUCAAGUCAAUCUUUGAAAAUACCUUGGCACCCUGAAGUUGAUCGAACAAAUCAUCAAUCCUCGGUAGUAGAUACUUAUUCUUGAUUGUAACCUUGUUCAACUGCCGGUAAUCAAUGCAUAUUCUCAUCGAACCAUCUUUUUUCUUAACGAACAACAUUGACACUCCCCAAGGUGAAACACUGGAUCUAAUGAAACCCUUCUCAAGCAAGUCCUGCAACUGCUCCUUCAACUCUUUCAACCAGGCGGGACCAUACGGUAUGGCGGGAUAGAAAUGGGUUGGGUGCCCGUGGCCAAAUCAAUGAAAAAGUUAAUAUCCCUGUCGGGUGGCAUACCCGGUCGGUCUGAAGGGAAAACAUCAGAAAACUCAUGAACAACGAGCACGGAAUCAAUAAAAGGGAUCUCAACACUAGAAUCAUGAACAUAUGCCAAAUAGGCCAAACAUCCCUUCACGACCAUACGCCGAGCCUUCACAUACAAAAUAACACUGCGGGUAGAAUGACCAGGAGUCCCUCUCCACUUUAAACGGGGAAAAUCCAGUAAGGCUAAGGUCACAGUCUUGGCAUGACAGUCCAAGAUAGCGUGGUAAGGUGAUAACCAAUCCAUCCCCAAUAUAACAUCAAAAUCGACCAUGUCUAGAAGCAACAAAUCCACGUGAGUCUCAAUAACCCCAAUCACCACAAUACAAAAACGAUGGACUCGAUUGACCACAAUAGAAUCACCCACCAGUGUAGACACAUAAACAUGAAUACUCAAUGAAUCACUAGGCAUGACCAGGUACGGUGCAAAAUAAGAUGACACAUACGAAUACGUAGACCCUGGAUCAAAUAGCACUGAAACAUCUCUAUCACAAACCAGAAUGGUACCUGUAAUGACUGCAUCUGAAGCCUCAGCCUCAAGCCUAGCUAGAAGGGCAUAACAUCGGGGCUGGGGCCCACCACCCUAAACUACCUCUCUGGGACGGCAUGCUGCUGGCUGGCCUCCACCUCCAGGACCUCUACCUCCACCUCUAGCACCUCUACCCCCACCUCUAAUUGGCUGGACGGGCUGUGGAACACCUGGUGCCUGUACCAUAGCACGAGAACCCUGAUGCUGAGAGCUACCCGGUGCUCGAGGGAAAAACCUGGUAAUGUGACCCGGAUCACCACAAGUGUAACAAGCCCUCGGCUACUGAGACUAUUGGCCUUGUCGACCUGAAUGACCACCUCAAAAACUCUGAAGUGGCGGUGCGCUGAUAGGAGCUGGUGGUGCACUGUAAGGAUGCUGAUCAGAAUAAUGUGUCUGAGAACCACGACCACCUGAAGUACCAUGUGAGACCUAGAAAGCUGACUGAAAGGGCCUAGGAGGAUGGCCUCUACCAUAUGAAUCUCUACCUCUAGACGAGGUAUCAUUGAAUUUGCCUGAAUAACGGGGCCUCUUAUCCGACCCAUGACCACCUCCCUAUGACAGAACCAUCUCAACUCUGCGGGCCACAUUGACCGCCUCCUGAAAGGUGAUCUAUCUCCCGGCCUCCUUGGCCAUCUGAAAACGAAUCGACUGAAUAAGACCAUUAAUAAACAUCCUCACCCUUGCUCUCUCGGUGUGAAGUAUGAAAAGAGCAUGGCGAGCUAGAUCGAUGAACCUGGUGUUAUACUGGGUGACCAACAUGGAACCCUACUGGAGCGAUCAAACUGCCUCCGAUAGGCCUCUCUCUGAAUAACGGGGAGAAACAUCUCCAGAAACAAUACUGUAAACUGCUCCCAUGUCAAAGAUGGCGACCCGGCUGGCCUGGCUAAGCAAUAGUCCCUCCACCAAGUCUUGGAGGAUCCCGACAGACGAAAGGCAGCAAAAUCAACUCCAUUGGUCUCAACGAUCCCCAUGUUCCGAAGAACCUCGUGACAACUAUCCAAAUAAUCCUAGGGAUACUCAGUAGAUGUACAGCUGAAUGUAGAAGUGAAUAGCUUGGUGAACCUAUCCAUCCUCCACAAAGCAUCAGCGGACAUAGCCACUCCAUCAUUGGUUUGAGCUACUACACCCGGCUGAACUGCUCCAGCAGGCUGAACCGUUGGAAUCUAAAUCUGAGGAGCCACCUGCUCCGGAGUGCGAGUAGCAAGAGUCUGAGCCCCUCCUCUAGCCUGAGAAGUGGCUGGUGCUACAAGAAGCAAACCUGCUCGGGUGACACUCUCUAUUAGGCCCAACAAUCGGACCAGAGCGUCCUGAAGAACUGGGGUGGCAAUGAACUCCUCUGGGACCUGAGCUGGGCCCACGAAACUGCUGGGCCGGAACCUCCUCCUCAAAAUCAACCUGAGGCUCUGCCACUGGUGUUGUUGCUCGGGGCUGAGCUCUGCCCCUACCUCGACCUUGGCCUCGCCCUCUGCCCCUAGUGAAAGUUGAUGUUGGGGGCUCGGGCUACUGAGCGGUAGAUGAGGAAGCGCGUGUUCUUGCCAUCUUCAAAAGAAUAGAGUAUAAAUCCAAUUAGAAUUGAGAAACAUAUCUACAUGACAAGAAAGAACAAAUGUGAAAUUUUUCCUAACUCUGUAGCCUCUGGGGGAUAAAUAUGGACGUCUCUGUACCGAUCCCUUAGACUCUACUAAGCUUGUCUGUGAACUGUGAGACCUAUGUAACCUAGAGCUCUUAUACCAACUUGUCACGACCUGGAUUUUCCCCACUCGGGAGUCGUAAUGGCGCCUACUAAUGAGAGCUAGGCAAGUCAACCCUUAACUACCUUUUUCAUUAACAAUUUUUUUUCCAAUUACCAGCGAUAACAUGAAAACAACAUAAUUAAAUAAAUAAGCGAAAGUCAACAAUUUUUAUAACUCAAGACUACGUCUCUUACAACAUUUAAAACCUCAAUACCCAAAACCUGGUGUCAUAGACUAUUUAAGAGUCACUACAAACAGGGCCUGAAGAAAAUACAAUAAACUAUUUCUGAACGAAAUAAAAUGAAAUAGGGAAUAGAGAUAGAGGGAGACGCCAGGGCCCGCGAACGCCUGCAGGUCCACCUUGGGUCUCCGGGUGGACUGAAGGAAGCCCUCCAACUAUUGUCCGUAAGUUGCUCCGGGAUCUGCACACAGUACAGAGUGUAGUAUCAGCACAACCAACCCCAUGUGUUGGUAAGUGUCUAGCCUAACCUCGGCGAAGUAGUGAUGAGGCAAGGACCAGACUACCAAAUAAACCUGUGCAAUUUAAUAUACAACAGAAAGGAAAAAGCAGAAAUAACUAGUAAAUGUGGGAAGGGGAAACAUGAUGUGGGGGAAAUAACUGUUCCGAAUAGAAAGCAUCAGGUAUGGAAAUUAACAACAUAACUAGAAUAUCAUCAAGAAUCAGAAAUCAACAAUUUGCACGACAUCAUCCUUCGUGCUUUUACUCUCGUUCUCACCAAAUCAAUCAUAUAAUAACAACGUGCACGACAUCACCCUUCGUGCUUUUACUCUCAUCCUCACCAAACAAUAUUUUAUAACAAAAGUGUACACGUCAUCACCCUUCGUGCUUAUACUCUCUUUCGUCACCAUAUAGUCAAUGAUAAUCUGUACGGAAUGGCACAUCGUACGACACGACAUCACCCUUCGUGCUUUACACUAUUUCCUCACCAUAGCAAACAAUGCACGACAUCACCCUUCGUGCUUUAACACUCUUCCUCACCCAAACAACAAUCACAAACAAAGGGGCAAGGGAGUUAACAAAUAACAAUAAAAAUCCUAGAAAAGGAACACAAUUAAAUAGUUAAAUCCCGGCAUGGGAACAAUAUCAAUAAUCUUAGCAUCCCGGCAAGGGAGAUAAUCAACAAAGAAACAAACAUUCGGGCAAGGGAACAAUUUAAUAACUCUUUCUCUUUCACUUUUACUUCAUAACUCACUUUACCAUUUGAGCCAAUGCUCCAAAGGGUUCAAUCAUCUCAUAUACUUUCACACUUUGUAAUAUAACUCGAGUCAAUGCUCCUCGAAGAUCAAAAGUCAUAAUUUCUUUCACAAGCUUUUCACAACAUAAAGAAAUCAUCACUAAGGCAUGAAAGACACAACAAUAAUAACAACAACAACAACAACGACCCAGUAUAAUCCCACAAGUGGCGUUUGGGGAGGGUAAUAUAUACGCAGACCUUACCCCUACCUCGAAGGGUAGAGAUGCUGUUUACAGGAGACCCUCGGCUCAAAAAAAGCAACAGGAGCCGAUAUAUUAGUACCAUAAAAAUGCAUAAUAAAAUAACAGCAAUAUAAGAGAUAUGAAAUACAGAAUACGAAAUAUGAAAUACAUAAAGACUCACGGUCAUAAAGACUCACGGUCAUGCUAGACAUAAACGUAUAGAUACUCGUCACCAUGCCUAUACGUCGUACUCAACAAUUAUCACAUAGCAAAUAGGACUCAACUCCUAAUCCCGCAAGAUAAGGUUAGACCAAACACUUACCUCAAACUUCCACGGCUAAUUCAAUUCUCAAUUACCGCUUUUCCUCUUGAAUUCAUCUCCAAAUCGAUUGUAUCUAUACACAAAUGACUUCAUAACAUCAAUAAAUGCUAAACAAUUCGAAUCCAAUACCUAAUUAUAGCUUCCCAAGUAUUCUUCCCAAAAUUCCAAAAAUCGACCCCGGGCCCGCUUGGUCAAAACACUAGGUUCGAACAAAAAUCCGAUAACCCAUUCAUCCAUGAUCCCGAAUAAUUAUUUCCAGAAUUUAAUCCCAAAACGAGGUCUAAAUCACAAUUUAUUAAAACUCCCUAACUCUACCCAAUUCCCUAAUUUCUACCUCUAAUUACAUAUUUUAGGCCUAGAAAUUCAAUAGAUGUUGAUGAAAAUGGAAGGAAAUAAGUUAAAGAUUACUAACCCAAGAGUUUAUGAUGAAAGGAUGCUUCAAAAGUCGUCCUAGNNNNNNNNNNNNNNNNNNNNNNNNNNNNNNNNNNNNNNNNNNNNNNNNNNNNNNNNNNNNNNNNNNNNNNNNNNNNNNNNNNNNNNNNNNNNNNNNNNNNNNNNNNNNNNNNNNNNNNNNNNNNNNNNNNNNNNNNNNNNNNNNNNNNNNNNNNNNNNNNNNNNNNNNNNNNNNNNNNNNNNNNNNNNNNNNNNNNNNNNNNNNNNNNNNNNNNNNNNNNNNNNNNNNNNNNNNNNNNNNNNNNNNNNNNNNNNNNNNNNNNNNNNNNNNNNNNNNNNNNNNNNNNNNNNNNNNNNNNNNNNNNNNNNNNNNNNNNNNNNNNNNNNNNNNNNNNNNNNNNNNNNNNNNNNNNNNNNNNNNNNNNNNNNNNNNNNNNNNNNNNNNNNNNNNNNNNNNNNNNNNNNNNNNNNNNNNNNNNNNNNNNNNNNNNNNNNNNNNNNNNNNNNNNNNNNNNNNNNNNNNNNNNNNNNNNNNNNNNNNNNNNNNNNNNNNNNNNNNNNNNNNNNNNNNNNNNNNNNNNNNNNNNNNNNNNNNNNNNNNNNNNNNNNNNNNNNNNNNNNNNNNNNNNNNNNNNNNNNNNNNNNNNNNNNNNNNNNNNNNNNNNNNNNNNNNNNNCGUGAUGAGUCAGGUCUGAAGACCUUCACAUUCGCAACACUAAGCUCGCGUUCGCGAUGCUUUAGCACCUCAAACCCUCGCGUUCGCAUGCCAGUGGCCGCGUUCGCGUAGAACAAACUAGUGGCCCCUCCCCUGAACCCUACGCGUUUGCGCGUGGAAGGACGCAUUCGCGAAGGGUCUCCCCCCUGAGCUUUGCAUUCGCGUCUCAACCUCCGCGUUCGCGAAGAAGAAACUGGGCACCUGGGAUCUUUGCCUUACGCGUUCGCGAGUGAGACCACGCGAACGCGAAGAACAAAAUCCCUGGUUACAACAACAGAAAAUCUGCAACACUUCUAAAGCCAAAAACCAUUCCGAAACACCUCCGAAACACUCCCGAGCCCUCAGGGCUCCUAACCAAACACAAGCACUAACUCAACAACAUCAUACGAACUUUUCCGUUUGAUCAAAUCGCAUAAAUAACCUCAAAAUCAAUGAAUCAAACCUCAAAAUCAAGAUUUUUUCCUCAAACUUCAUCAAGUUUCCAAUUUAGAAAUUUAAGUUCGAAACACGUCAAACGACGUCCGAUUUCAUCCAAAUUUUAUAGGAAGAACUUAAAACAUAUAUAAGACCUAUACCGGAUGCCGGAACCAAAAUACGGGCCCGAUACCAUCGCUUUCUAAUCAGAUUUCAUUUCCAAUUUUCUUAAACAUUUUCAGAAAAUAAUUUUACUUAAAAAUUCAUUUAUCGGGCUUGGGACCUCGGAAUUCGAUUUCGGAUAUAUGCCCACGUCCCAUAUUUUCCUACGGAUCCUCCGGGGCCGUCAAAUCAUGGGUCCGGGUUCGUUUGCCCAAAAUAUUGACCAAAGUCAAACUUAUUUAUUUUAACAUCAAAACUUAGCAUUUUCCACAAAAUUUCACAUUUAAUCUUUCCGGCUACGCGUCCGAACUACGCACGCAAAUCGAGAAAACUCUAAAUAAGGUUUUCAAGGCCUUGGAAGCACAAAAUGGAUAAAAAACAGGUGAUGACCCCUUUGGGUCGUCACAAUUAUAGAAUGCAUGGUCCAUUUCAAAUUACUUUGGAAGCCCGCCCCUUUCUAUGCUACUUUAGACCCACUAUGAAAUUAUGAGGUCCUUCUAGUGUGACAACUGCUUAUACAAAUUUAACUAGAAGGCUUAAUAGAAAUUCUAUGAGCUAAGUUUUCGAGCUUUUUCUAAGGAUGGCACAAGUAGAGAUAAGAAUGGAUAAAUGUUAUCAAUCUAAAAAAAAAAAGAUAAGAGCGGAUAAACUAAUAUAGCACUGUACUCUAUGUGCUAUUAUCAUUAACUUCUAAAGUAGUGAGAUUUCCUGUAUUAGAAGUCUUAGGAGCAAUUUCUGUAGUAGAACUUUAAGGAGCAAGCCAACAUUUGAUAUCUUUUAAGGAAAUAUUGAUUUGUCUUACAAGCCAUGACCAAAAAAUCUCAAGAUAAUUCACCUUAAAAUAUGAUCUUUCUGUACGAAACAUAUAUAGUUAGUUAAUUCUACUUUGAUUGGUACCAGUUUCAAAAAAAAUUAAUUCAUCUUUGAAAAUUCUUCACCUUAACAACCUCAAAUAAUUUUGCAAUGCUGUUUAUUUUGUUGUUGAUGAUGCUUUUCAAAUAGUAUUUACUAGCAUCUUGAGUCUUCUUUGGCCUAUUGGUUCCUUUCACAAUCUACCGUGGUCUUUAUGGAAAUUAUUGUAUUUUAAAAUUGACCAUAUAAAUAGUAAGUUUUGACAUGUAUUAUUUUGCACUCUAUGGAAUGUACUUUGCUGGAUACCAUUCUUCGACCAAGAUGAUAACUUGAUGAUGAUUUUCAGUUGUAAGAAAAAAUAAAAUCUUCUCCACCUGGAGGAAGUUGUUGUGCUUUACAGGAUAGCAUCUCUGAGCAACUUACUCCUAUCAACCUUUUUUGAGUGUUUUCCUGUGAAACCUCAUUAAUGGAGCAACUAAGAAGAGAGAUGUAUAACAGAAUGCAAGAAAUUUCUUCGAUCUGGCUCUUGUUAGCUGUAGGUUUACAACAUACUAGGUUAUUUCUAUCUUUCUCUGAAGAUAACAUUCUUUUGUUCUUUUUUCUACUCAUCUUUGACAUUAAGCUCUGAAAAUUGAGGUGUCUCAGCUUGCAAUAUAUUCAUUUUGACAUUUGCUGGUGGUAACGCUUUGAGGAGCAAUAAAUUUUUUUAAAUUAAUCUUACAAACAAAUUACCAAUGCAUUACUAAUAAGAUACAGUUAUCUAUUAUUUUAGUAUCUUUAUAUCUACUGAAUUUUGUAUCAGUUUAAAUGCUUAACAUGACAAUCAUUUAGCAGCUGCGAAUAUGAGAAUGUAAUAUUUUUCACGUUUAUAGUGUUUGUUCAACUCCUGUAGAACAUUCCUGUCUGGUUUGUCGUGUUUGUUCAACUUCUGUUGAAUUAUUUAACUAUAUGUUGCACCAAUAUUAGUCCAUAAUAUUACGAUCACCAAUCUUUAUUAGAAAGAAAUACAACAACAUCACUUAAUCCGUAAAGGCUAAAAUUAAAAAAAAUUAGCAUAAUUAUUCCAGGUUUAAAGUAUUAUACAACAACAAACCCAAUGUGCUCCCACAAAUGGGGUCUAGGGAGGAUAGUAUGCAUGCAUCCUUACCUCUACCUUAUGAAGUUAGAGAGAAUAUUUUCGAUAUACCUUUGGCUCACGAAAAGCAUAUAUUUAAUAUUAUCCGUUAAAAAAAUUUCCAUUAUUUGAAGGGUCUUGAAUGCUCAAGUGACUGGCUUUCUCAUUGGAGGGAAAGACUACAAGAUCUUUGACCAAGAGACUAAAUCUGUUGAAGGGACCUUGAGGCUUGCAUGUUGAAUCAUGCCAAAAGCAUUUUCUAUGACCUGUUGUACCAAACAACCUAAAUAAAAAUAUGUUUGCAUGUAAGUGUCAUACUUAGAAUUACAUGUUUGUUUUUUCUCUUACAUAUCGUCUAGGUUCCCAACAAUCGAACUCUUAAAUGUUCAGAUUGGGUAGGGGAAGAAUGCCUCUCAAUGACUACCAUCCUGUUAUGAGAUUGGAGAAUCAAAUGCCGCUUAUGUAGGGCAAGGUGGUUUAAAUUUAAAGUAGUGAAGUCUUGAGUUGGAAAGAAUCAGAAUUAGAACUCUUUGUCCCAAAAAUAGUAGAUGAAUUAUUAGAAGACUUCAUUAAUGUCGAGCACCAAGUAGUGUUUAUAGUUGUAUUGUUGAAUUAAUUUGAGUGGUCACAUAUUUUUCUUUUAUCCGGUGGAGAGGAUACAUUGCAAAUACGUUCCACCUGAAGACAUUCGGCCUAAAUGUAUGAUUCUAGGAAACAUCCAAUAGUUGUGCCUUCACAUCAGCAUCGCUUUAGUAAGACCCUUUUUUUUGGAUUCAUAUAGGUUAUGUUAAUGUUGUCAUGUAUUAGAAAAUUUAUUCAAAGGUAGCCAAAAGAAAGCACCAAUUACUUUUUUGCAGUUUAUUUCUUGAGUUUAGAAUAUGACCAAGAUUCUUAUUCCUAUCGUGACUUCUUUUGUUGUUCUUGAUAUAAUCAAGUCAAAAGAGUCCUACUAAUCUUUUGAAUUGUGGUAAAUAUAACUUGUAUAAGUUUGUUUCAUCUGUUCAAAUGUGGGUAACUGAGGUAAAAAAUUAAAUUCUCUAAUAUUUAUACUUUGUGGCUUGAAGCUAGUGCUAUUAUGUUAGAAAACUGAAAGUCGUAAAGAAAUGAAAAGUAAGACCUUACUGUGAAGUGGCAACAUAUUCUUUCAAUGUGAAGUGAAUGCAGAAUUAUGGAAUAUAUUCCUGAAAUAUUUAGUUUGAAAUAGACAACGCUAUAAUCAAGAAAGAGUUCAUAGAAAAAGAAGGUAAAAAUGUUAGGUGUUACAAAGCAAAGCAAAGUUAGUCAGUAUGAUUAUAUACAAGUGUCUAACAUUGUUGUCUUUCUGGUACAAGAACGAUUAUAUUAGGGAUGCUAUUAAUAUGCUAGAUUUUAUUAGCAAGCUUCAAAAUUAGAAAUGAAUGUGGUUACUUUUGUUUGUAAUAUCACAAUAUGUACUUAGUGUUGUUAUUUAAUAAAAUUAGUUUUAUUCUUUAAACAUGAUUCUUUUAAUAUAUUGUUUAAUAUCUUUCUUUCUCUUCUCUGUUUCAGUUCGUGCUCUUUUUUUUUUGUUCUUCAGUCCUUCCAGAGCAGUCUUUCUUGGUUACUCAGAGGUACAAUUUUACUUUUUUAAAAUAUUAUCCGAGGAUAUGUCAGGCCUUUCACAAUACUUAAUGCAAAGUGGCAUUAACCCUGUAACUGAGUAGACAUGUAUUGGCCAUUUUCUUGGUCUUUGUUCGUUAUCUUUUCCCGUCUUCCAUAGUAUUUCAUCUUCCUCUGUUCAGAUUUUGCUGAUUUAUGCAUUUCAAUAAAAAAAAUAUUGCAUGCCCAUAGGGCUAUGCUAAUGUUCUUGGUGCUUUGAAUCCAGAACUGUUAGAGCGAACGAGUCUCUUUCAGUUUGUCUCUUCAGUCGGUGGCGACUGGGCUAUUCAAAGCUUAAAGUUAUUAUCUUUCGUUUACCUGUUGUUGCUCGACUUUUCUUGGUUAACAUAUGAUGCUACCCUUAACUAUUGAUGUUAUUGAAGUAGUAUGCUUAAGUUUUGGCUUAUUUAGAAGAUCCAAAUUAUUUCUAUUUUUUUAAUGGUUUCUCUGUUACUAUGGUUUCUUUCAUUAUAGUUCUACUCUAAUUUUUCCCGGUCAUUCAGAUGACUAUUGGAUGAAUUGAGUAGUUUUUUUGGUCCUUCGAUGCAUUUCUUAGGGACUCUGAUGAAAUGUGGGAUGAAUUUUUGUUGAAAGCUAAUACUAUACAAGUUGUGCCAUGAAUUGUUAUUUGAAUGUAAUUUUCACAAAUAAAUCUAAUAUUGGAAUUGAGAUUAUGUACUCUAAUGUCACGACCCCAUACCGGCCCGGUCGUAAUAGCGCCUCUCGUGAAGACAAGGCCAGCCGACACAACACUCACAUUAACCCUUUAAUCAUUAAGAUUCAUCUUUUAAACCUUUAAUUAGAACAAUGUUUCAUAAUAUAUGUCUGAAAGAACAGUGCGAAAUUAAUAUACAAGCCCGACAUCAGGGUGUCACUAGUCAUGAGCAUCUACCAAGUUCUGAAUACAACAAAAAUAGUCAAAAGUGUACUAAGUACAGUAAUGAAAAUAAGAGGAAGAAAGCAGUGUUGCGAACGUCGUGCAACCACCUUGCUAACUUCAUUGACUCCGUGUCUAAGCAAUCAACACGCGCUACCGGGUUCCUAAAUACCUGAAUCUGCACAUGAGGUGCAGGGAGUAAUGUGAGUACUCCAACCCAGUAAGUAAUAAAAGUAAAUAAAGACUGAGUAGUAUGAAACAAUGAAUCAACAUUUAUGAUAAACUCAAUAAGCACAACGGCCUUCCAAAUCAGAAUACGAGUCGAUCAUCUCAUUUAAAAUCCAGCCUUUUGGUAAAAAUCAUUUGAAAAUACUUUCCGACAGUUUCAGUAGGGGUUCAAUGCCAUUUAUAAUAAAAGAUAUGAAAACCAUAAUCGUCCUCUCAGGCAAAACAUAGUUCGUAAAAUAGCCCCUCGGGCAAAACAGUAAUCAUAAACACCUCAAAAUUUGAAAAUUUCAGUGGAAAUAACUGAUGUCAAAUCAGUGAUCAAAUUCUGAACAUCUCAUAAACCCCAGCAUAAAUAAAAGUUAUUUUUAAAAUAUUUGUUCAACACUUCGACAGAGGUUCAAUAUAAAGAUAAGUGAAAACAGUCAACAAAAUCAACGUAUUCGAUAGAAACUCAUUCUUAAGAGGAGUGAAAAAUCAAUAAGUUCAUAAAUAGGCCCUUCAGGCAAGUAUCACUCAUGUUCAUGUAUAUAUCUAUCGCCCCCUCGGGCUAGCCUCUCAGUCAUUCAUGACUCAACUCUUACCAAUCAGCGCUCACACUCAGCACUCAUGCUCAAUAGGUACCAUAUAGUAUUCGUUGUGGCGCGCAACCCGCCUCAUAUAUCUCGUCGACGGCGCUCACUGGGGGUGUGCAGACUCCGGAGGGCCUCUUACAGCCCAAGCGCUAUAUCGAUGCGGCUUGCAGCCCAAUCCAACAUAUCACUACGGCGUGCAGCCCGAUUCAUUUAAGUAUCGCUGCGGCGUGCAACCCGAUCCGUAUACAUAUAUAAAUAUUAAUGCGGCGUGCAACCCGACCCAUAGAUAUUUAAUCCACACAACUAGGCCCUCGGCCUCUCUCAGUCAUUAACCUCACCAUAAGACUCUCAGUCUAUCUCAGUCAACAAUCUCACAAUCAGACCCUCGGUCUAUCUCAGUCAUCAUCUUACGAUCACUCGGACCAUCAGUAUAACAGGGAACUCAGCCCAAAACAGUUUCCACAUUUUUAAGAAUAUAGUGAUAAAGCCAGAUUUGAGCAAUAAACAGGUAAAACAUGACUGAACAUAUGCUUUCAAACAAAUAGAGUAAGGAAAGAUAGUAAAAAUACCCCUAAGGGUUUCAACAAGUCGGCACAAGGCCCCAAACAUGGCAUACAACCCAAAGUAUAAUAACAUCAAAAAGUUAACUAUCAAAUACGCAUUAAAAUAGUGGUUCAGGAUGGACUAGGUUACAAUCCCCAGUGGUGCUCUAGCCCACGCUCGUCAUGCAGUGUGUAAGUCACCUCAAAGUAGCACAACGAUGUAUAAUCUGGGGUUUCAAACCCUUAGAACAACAUUUACAAUCAUUACUUACCUCGAACCGGCGAAAUCUCUAGCUCGCGAUGCCUUUGCCCCUCUAAUCGGCCUCCACGCGCGUCGAAUCUAUCCAAAAUCAGAACGAAUACAUCACAAUAUGCUAAGGGAGCAAAGCCCAAGCGAAAAUAAUCAAUAACGGGCACAAAUCCCGAAAUUACCAAACCUGAGCGCCGGGCCCACUUCUCGAAACUCAAAAUUUUUAUAUCAACAGGUUCCUUAUCCUUCCACGAGUUCAUACAUAUCAAAAGUUCUCAAAUCCGACCUCAAAUGGUCCAUCAAAUCCCAAUUUAACAGUUUCAAAAUCCCAAGCCCUAGGUCAUCCAUUUUUAGCCUAAUUCCAUGAAUUUCUAGGUAAAUUUCACAAUAGAAUCACGUUUUAGGUUCAAAAAUCUUACCUUCAAUCAAUUCUCCAUGAAUCCCUCUUCAAUUUCCCUCAAAGAGAUCUCAAAAUACUCAGCUAUGGAGGAAUAAUGGCUCAAAAUCGCGGAUGAAAUGUUUUAUAAACUUUCUGCCCAGCUCUGAACUUCCUUCAUCGCGAUCGCGGCCCAAGCCUCGCGAUCGCGAAGAGCAAAAAUUCCAAGACUCCCAAAUGCACUAUGCGAACGCGAUACCUAUUAUGUGAACGCGAUGCCUUACUUUCCAGACAUACGUGAAUGCCAACCAGAUGAUGCGAAAGCAAAGAACAAAUCCACUGGACCCCCAAAGACAUAUACGCGAACACGAAGAACAAGGUCAAGGCCCUCCACGAACGCAAGACCUCAAACGCGAACGCGAAGGCCGAACUCAGGCCAACUCACAUUCCUUCUACGCGAUUGCGAUGGAUCUCACGCAAUCGCGACGGCUAAAAUCAUCUGCAACGACUAUUGAAAUUUCUGCAACUUCUCAACAUAGCAAAUGGUCCGAUUGACCACCCGAAACUCACCCGAGGCCCCCGGGACCCCAACCAAAAGUACCAACACAUCCUGAAACCUCAUUCAAACUUGUUCCAAUCAUCAAAACACCUCAAACAACACCAAAUCCAUCAAUUCACAUCAAAUUCAAGCCUAAGUUUUCUAAAGACUUCUGAAAUACGCUUUCGAUCAAAAACCCAACCAAACCACGUCCGAAUGACUUGAAAUUUUGCACACACAUCACAAAUGACAUAACAAACCUACAACAACUCUCAGAAUUCCAUUCCAACCCUCGGAUCGAAAUCUCACCUAUCAACCGAAAUUCGCCAAAAUACUAAUUUCGCCAAUUCAAGCCUAAUACACCGGACCUCCAAAAUCAAUUACGAUCAUGCUCGUAAGUCAUAAAUCACCCAACAAAGCUAACUAAAUCAUAAAAAUUUCGAUCCGAGCUCAUAUAUAAAUAAGUUAACUCUUGGUCAAACCUUUCAAUUGAGACUGUUCUUUCAAAUUCAUACUGAUUUUCGUGAAAACUAAUAUCAACGAUUUACAUCAGUCAUAACACAACAUACGGGGCAAGUCAUGCCCGAGAACUGGCGAUCAAAGUGCAAAAGCUCAAAACGACCGGUCAGGUCGUUACAUCCUCCCCCACUUAAACACACAUUCGUCCUCGAACAUAUCCAGAGCUGUUCUAAAAGCCAACCCGUGGCUGAAAAUCUUUACCAUUCAUAUACUCGGGGGUUAUCCCAUGUCACCCUAUCUCAUAUAGGUCUGAUAACAUAUUGCAACUGAAAUUACACAAUUCAGUCUGGCCCCUAAGCCAUAGAACCACAUUUCCACUUCUGAAACCAUCAAUAUGAUUAAAACCUCAAACCUAUACUCUGAAUAGACCCGAACCAGUUGUAAUAACCCAUGCCUGCAACCUCGGGAGCAAUCCCAUGAUAUACCACAUAACUCAAACACUCGUAGUGAUAACUUCUAUUCACAGCAGCUGCACACAACAACCGAAUAUCGGUAGCAAACCUCUUAUUAACUAAAGUCUCAUUCCAACACUUCCAUAUACUGCCAAUGAUAACUAAACCACACAGUAAGCCAUAACCAUUCGUUAGAUCAACCAUUCAUGAAGCCACUUCUCCUUUGGCAAAAACCAUGGCAAUUUCUGAGCCGAAUCUCGAUAUUAUCCUUCCAACAUGCUGAAAUUGAAUUCGUUCGUAUUCAUUAAUGAUACCAACGAUCUCCCUAGAUUACCAAUAAGCUCUAUAACAACCGAAUCAACACAUCCCUCGCCUACAGCAACUCGAAGUCAUAAAGCCGUCUCGAUGCUGGACACAAAUCCACAUAGGUCUACCAAUGAACCACACAUCAACUCUAGUUACCCACAACAGAUAAAUAAUCCUUCGAAGGUUCACAAUGACUGAAUCAUAGCACACACUAACAUCUGACUAACUACCCACAUUUUCCAUCCACAACCACGAGCUAACCUGUGUAUGAGAACUUCCAGUCUCCAAAUCCAUAAAACACACGAAGUACCAUAUCUGAUCCCAAUUUCGCCACUCGCAUAUAUAACUCACCUCUAGUACUCAAUCAUUCCACGAGAGAUACUCUAAGAUUCCUCUGUGCUGCCAAGCAAACUCGAAUAUCAGCAGCCGAUCUGACAAGAAGUGCUGCAAUACUACCGGAUUACCAUCAACUUAAUCAUAUUACCUCCCUCUGAAUCAUAUACCCUCGUCCAAUUACCUCAUUUAGCAUUACCUUUUCCUUAAUCACCUAAAGAUCAUUUCUCAAAUCAUCUGAAGCUCAUUUCUUCAAUUUAUCUGAACUACCCGUGCUGCCUAGGAAUUUAUGACCUUCCUUUAAAAUCUGAACCGUGACCUUACACAUACCAAUCUCACUCCUACACAACAUAUCGUAUAAACUGUACCAUUCUAGGAUAACCACAAGAACCUUGUAUCUCUUCCGAGCUACAAGCAACUAUGUACUCAACCAACCAAGAACUUACCAUUGUUCCCAUCUAGAAGAAAAUCACUAUACAUAUCAUGCUCCUCAUGCCCAUAGAAAAUUUCAAACCGAGGUCGAAACUAUCAAGAACUCUCCGAGUUCCCCUUGCACAACUAGACCUGCCAGGACUGAAUACUUCUAAGUCAACCGAGCUACGCAGAUCACUAAAACCCAAGAGAAUUGCCGAGAAACACUUGUAGAAACUCGUUACCUCGCAAGCAUCCAAAGAACUAAUUGUAUCCUUACUAUACCAACUCGGCCUAAUACCAAGCUAUCCUAUCUAUCCGAAUUUUCCUUCUGAUGUACCUUCAACUUGGUACUCAUUCUUGCUAUAACAUCAUAAUUCCUCAACCCAUACAUACCACACGGGGCCCAAGCAUAAAGCCACACCGUCUAAGGCUCAUAAGACGCUGAAUACUUCCUUAGAUAUUCCUACGAGCACCAUGAUCAAGGUACUUUGCUCUGAAGUGACUUCCUGCGAAUCUAAAUCUGUUACCUUUACCUUCCUAGUACUAAUACAUAGAAUCUCAUAAUUUAUAAAGAAAAUACCACAAGUCUCGACAUUUUCCAAUGAAAACUCAGUUUCUAACCACAUAUACAACUUUAAAAUACCCAAUUAUUAUAUGUAAAAUCUUGAACACAUUAGAACCAUUCUCGAGAGUCAUUCACUCUAUUCAAACUGCAAUUAGCAUGAUCAAAUAAACAGAACCACCUGUGCCUCAAUAGCACUCCGACACCGCAGGGCGUAACCUCGUCCGAGAACAACCAAACCACUUCCUGCUCUAUGCACCGAGCAUCCAUUAUUACAACAGCUCAAGGCACUCUAAGAUUCCCAUGCACCUAUGAAGCAUGACAUAACCUCUGUCAAAAUUUUUCCUUUACUCGAGACAUCCUCGGUCUCAGUCUCCGUAAGCCAUAGUUGAUUCACCAGUGCGCCUCAACUGGAACCAACAUAGCACAUAACCGUGCAAUCAACAAAUCAAUAGCAAACUCCCCCACUUGGCUCGAAGCCAUAGAUCAAAACACACUCAAUAUCUCGUAACACAUAUGUUCUAUUGAUGCCAUAAUACCAUAGUGAGAUUAAACUCAAAUCCUUUGUAAGCUUGCAAAAACACAGAUCAUCUAAUACUUUAACUCUUCUGCCAAUCUCGCAUUUACUCUCAUAACAAUUAAACCCACUCUCUUAAGCGAUCCAAAUUAAAAUCACACAUAUGUUUCACUUGUAAAUAAGAUCUUCUAACAGACAGCAUAAUGAUCGCACAACUUUCAAACAGUUCGCAGGUGAUAACCCACCUGAUUUGAGUCAAACUAACAUUCCCAUAUACCUUCCAUCGUCACAAACCGUAUGCAGUUACUUAGUCUUCUUAAGUCUGAACUCAUACCGCAACAUGAAAUUUUACUUCACUCUCAACUGGGAAACAUUGAAAGAUUCUUCAUAUGCCCAUAACUCGGGGCUACACCUCGAACCAAGAUGGAAUUAAAACACCUAAUAGUUCUUCUAUCCUGCAGCAGACCUUCCUCGUCACUUCCAAGUCAUAUAGAUAUAUCUCGCAGUACUAACAUACUCAUCACAUAGUUAUCCAACCGUCACUCCCACUAAUAGGGACGAUACCGAACAUAUAACUUCAAAGCACUUGCUCACAUAAUCAGUACCUCUGUGCUCAAGCCAUAGGCAAAUAUCUGGCCUCAAGUCCUCCAGACUAGACCAAUAUCAAACUCACAAAGAUCACAUCUUGCCCCUCGAUCAGGGAAUCAUAAGCCAUCAAGGCACAUCUGAUACUGAGCGCUCAUGCGCGCAUAAGAACACGUGGAAAGAAUUCAAAGAGUUACUUUUCAAGCUGAACCAAGGACGCAUGAUAAGAAUUCCAAGAACGUGAAGUUUUUCCUAAAGGUUCUGCAGCCUCUCGAAGAUAAAUACAAACGUCUCCGUACCAAUCCACGAGACUCUACUAAACCUGCUCAUGACUCGCGAAACCUAUGUAACCUAGGCUAUGAUACCAACUUGUCACGACCCUAAACCGGCCCGGUCGUGAUGGCACCUCUCGUGAAGACAAGGCCAACUGACACAACACUCACAUUAACCCUUUAAUCAUUAAGAGUCAUCUUUUAAACCUUUAAUUAGAACAAUGUUUCAUAAUAUACGUCUGAAAGAAUAGUACAAAAUUAAUAUACAAGUCCGACAUCAGGGUGUCACUAGUCAUGAGCAUCUACCAAGUUCUGAAUACAACAAAAAUAGUCAAACGUGUACCUAAGUACAGUAAUGAAAAUAAGAGGAAGAAAGCAGUGUUGCAAACGUCAUGCAACCACCUUGCUAACUUCAUUGACUCCGUGUCUAAGCAAUCAACACCUGCUACCGGGUUCCGAAAUACCUGAAUCUGCACACGAGGUGCAGGGAGUAAUGUGAGUACUCCAACCCAAUAAGUAAUAAAAGUAAAUAAAGACUGAACAUUAUGAAAUAAUGAAUCUAUAUUUGUGAUAAACUCAAUAAGCACAACAGGCUUCCAAAUCAAAAUACUAGUCGAUCGUCUCAUUUAAAAUCCAUCCUUUUGGUAAAAAUCAUUUGAAAAUGCUUUCCGACAGUUUCAGUAGGGGUUCAAUACCAUUUAUAAUUAAAGAGAUGAAAACCACAAUCGGCCUCUCGGGCAAAACAUAGUUCGUAAAACAGCCCCUCGAGCAAAAUAGUAAUCAUAAACACCUCAAAAUUUGAAAAUUUCAGUAGAAAUAACCGAUGUCAAAUCAGUGAUCAAAUUCUGAACAUCUCAUAAACCCCAGCUUAAAUGAAAGUUGUUUCUAAAACAUUUGUUCAACACUUCGACAGAGGCUCAAUAUAAAGAUGAGUGAAAACAGUCAACAAAUAAAUGUAUUCGAUAGAAACUCAUUCUUAAGAGGAGUGAAAAAUCAAUAAGUUCAUAAACAGGCCCUUCAAGCAAGUAUCACUCAUGUUCAUGUAUAUAUCUAUCGCCCCCUCAGGCUAGCCUCUCAGUUACUCAUGACUCAACUCUUACCAAUCAGCGCUCACACUCAGCUCUCACGCUCAAUAGGUACCAUAUAGUAACCGUUGCGGUGUACAGCCCGAUCCAUAUAUCUCGUCGACGGCGCUCACUGGGUGUGUGCAGACUCCGGAGGGGCUCCUAUAGCCCAAGCGCUACACCGCUGUGGCAUGCAGCCCGAUCCAACAUAUCACUGCGGCGUGCAGCCCGAUCCAUAUAAGUAUCGCUGCAGCGCGCAGCCCGAUCCAUAUACAUAUAUAAAUAUUGAUGCGGCGUGCAACCCGACCCAUAGAUAUUUAAUCCUCACAACUAGGCCCUUGGCCUCUCUUAGUCAUUAACCUCACCAUCAGACUCUCAGUCUAUUCAGUCAUCAAUCUCACAAUCAGACCCUCGGUCUAUCUCAGUCAUCAUCUUACAAUCACUCGGACCAUCAGUAUAAUAGGGAACUCAGCCCAAAACAGUUUCCACAUUUUUAAGAAUAUAGUGGUAAAGCCAGAUUUGAGCAGUAAACAGGUAAAACAUGACUGAACAUAUGCUUUCAAACAAAUAGAGUGAGUAAAGAUAGUAAAAAUACCCCUAAGGGUUUCAACAAGUCGGCACAAGGCCCUAAACAUGGCAUACAAUACAAAGUAUAAUAGCAUCAAACAGUUAACUAUCAAAUACGCAUUAAAAUAGUCGUUCGGGAUGGACUAGGUCACAAUCCCCAGCGGUGCUCUACCCCACGCUCGUCAUCUAGCGUGUAAGUCACCUCAAAGUAGCACAACGAUGUGUAAUCUGGGGUUUCAAACCCUCAGAACAGAUUUACAAUCAAUACUCACCUCGAACCGGCAAAAUCUCUAGCUCGCAAUGUCUUUGCCCCUCAAAUCGGCCUCCACGCGCGUCGAAUCUAUCCAAAAGUAAGAACAAAUACAUCACAAUAUGCUAAGGGAACAAAGCCCAAGCGAAAACAAUCAAUAAUAGGCACAAAUCCCGAAAUUACCAAACCCGAGCCCCGGGCCCAUUUCUCGAAACUCAGAAAUUUUUACAUCAACGGGUUCCUUAUCUUUCCAUGAGUUCAUACAUAUCAAAAGUUCUCAAAUCCGACCUCAAAUAGUCCUUCAAAUCCCAAUUUAAAAGUUUCAAAAUCCCAUGCCUUAGUUCUUCCAUUUUUAGCCUAAUUCCAUGAAUUUCUAGGUAAAUUUCACAAUAGAAUUAUGUUUUAGGUUCAAAAAUCUUACCUCCAAUCAAUUCUCCAUGAAUCCCUCUUCAAUUUUCCCUCAAAGAGCUCUCAAAAUACUCAGCUAUAGAGGAAUAAUGGAUCAAAAUCGCGGAUGAAAUGUAUUAUAAACUUUCUGCCCAGCUCUGAACUUCCUUCAUCGCGAUCGUGGCCGAAGCCUCGCGAUCGCGAAGAGCGAAAAUUCCAAGACUCCAAAUGCACUAUGCGAACGCGAUACCUACUAUGCGAACGCGAUGCCUUACUUUCCAGACCUACGGGAAUGCGAACCGGAUGAUGCGAACGCGAAGAACAAAUCCACUGGACCCCCAAAGACUUAUACGCGAACGCGAACCACUACAUGCAAACGCGAAGCACAAGGUCAAGGCCCUCCGCGAACGCGAGAUCUCAAACGCGAACGCGAAGGCCGAACUCAGGCCAACCUACAUUCCUUGUACGCGAUCGCGAUGGACCUCACGCGCGAAGGCUAAAAUCAUCUGCAACAGCUGUUGAAAUUUCUGCAACUUCUCAACAUAGCAAAUGGUCCGAUUGACCACCCGAAACUCACUCGAGGCCCCCGGGACCCCAACCAAAAGUACCAACACAUCCUAAAACCUCAUUCAAAUUUGUUCAAAAACCUCUAUUGGCAUCGCCUCAAUUUGCAUGCGCAGUCCGGGAGCGUAGGCGGAAAGCCUAAAUGUGAAAAUCUGUGAAAAAUGAUAACUUUUGACUAUAAAAUGAAUUAAUUUGACUUCGAUCGACGUUUUGGGUAAACGGACCCGGACCCAAAAUUUGACGGCUCGGAGGGUCCGUAGUAAAAUAUGGGACUUGGGCGUAUGCCUGGAAUCGAAUUUCGAGGUCCCAAGUCCGAGAAAUGAAUUUUCAAAGAAAAUAUCAAAACACCUCAAACAAUACCAAAUCCAUCAAUUCACAUAGAAUUCAAGCCUAAGUUUUCUAAAGACUUCCGAAAUACGCUUUCGAUCAAAAACCCAACCAAACAACGUCCGAAUGGCCUGAAAUUUUGCACGCACAUCACAAAUGACAUAACGAAGCUAUAACAACUCUCAGAAUUCCAUUCCGACCCUCGGUUCAAAAUCUCACUUAUCAACCAGAAUUCGCCAAAAUACUAAUUUCGCCAAUUCUAGCCUAAUUCUACACCGGACCUCCAAAACCAAUUCCGAU